AACGAACGCUGGCGGCAUGCCUAACACAUGCAAGUCGAACGAGACCUUCGGGUCUAGUGUCGCACGGGUGCGUAACGCGUGGGAACCUGCCCUUAGGUUCGGAAUAACUCCCCGAAAGGGGUGCUAAUACCGGAUAAUGUCUUCGGUCCAAAGAUUUAUCGCCUUUGGAUGGGCCCGCGUUGUAUUAGCUAGUUGGUAGGGUAAGAGCCUACCAAGGCGACGAUCCAUAGCUGGUCUGAGAGGAUGAUCAGCCACACUGGGACUGAGACACGGCCCAGACUCCUACGGGAGGCAGCAGUGGGAAAUAUAGGACAGUGGGCGGAAGGCAGAUCCAGCAAUGCCGGGUGAGUGAUGAAGGCCGUAGGGUUGUAAAGCGCUUUUACACGGGAUGAGAAUGACAGUACCGGAAGAAUAAGCACCGGCUAACUCCGUG
rnacentral:rRNA from 1 species